rnacentral:rRNA from 1 species
CGCGUAGGUGGUCUUGUGUGUCUAUCGUGAAAGCACACGGCUCAACCGUGUAAAGUCGGUGGAAACUGCAGGACUUGAGGUUGGGAGGGGCUGGUGGAAUUCCCUGUGUAGCGGUGAAAUGCGUAGAGAUGGGGGAGAACACUUGUGGCGAAGGCGGCCAGCUGGACCAAUCCUGACACUGAGGCGCGACAGCGUGGGGAGCAAACAGGAUUAGAUACCCUGGUAGUCCACGCCGUAAACGAUGGGCACUAGGUGCUGGCGGUAUUGAUCCCGUCAGUGCCGGCGCUAACGCAGUAAGUGCCCCGCCUGGGGAGUACGGUCGCAAGGCUGAA